GGGGCGGGGGGUGGGGUGGGAAGAGUGUAGCAGUGAGGACGACGAGAGGUCACUCUCGUCGCCAUUUUGUUUUUGGUGGUUUUUGUCUGGCUUCUUUACCGCAACCUGUUUUAUCAGCAAAGUCUUUAUAACCUGUAUUUUGUGCUGACCUCCUAUCUCAUCCUGUGACUUAGAAUGCCUUAACAACUGUCUGGAAUGCAGCCCGAUCUGUGGAGUGGCUGCAGCACCUGUGUUUCAGCCUGAAGAAUGGGCACAGUCCCUCUUUGGCAGACUGAAUGGAUGCUGCCAUACCAUCACACUGGAAAUGAGGAAUAUAACACCAUGAGGAAGAAUGGUUGUUUCACACACUGAUAUUUCAUGAUUCUGAAGAAGAAUUGGAGGUGAGACUUGAGAAAAUGGAGAAAAAGAUAUGCUUUGGAUUUUCUUGAAGACUAGAAGCUUUCUUAACCAUCCACCACCUUGUUGACUGGUUAUUAUUCUCUCUACCUUCUGUGAAACAAACUGAUGGAUACUAAUGGCACAAUUACACUUAUAGCUAGUCAGUUGCAUAGUUUAUGCACAUAGUUCUGCUUCCAGUGUUUAGUAAUGAGUUAAACAUUUUGGCUAUAUUUGUCUCUGAAGCUAUAAUUUCAAUUAAUCAUUAUGUAUAGCAAUAAUAACAAGUAAAACAAAAAGAAGAAUUUUUUGUUUCUAUGGUAAUUAUGUUGGGUGCUUUGGAUCCUCCCAAUAAAGUUGACUUCCUAAAAUAAUUACACUUGAAUUAGGUAUAGAGAAGCUAAUUGUAACAAAUUGAAAGUUACUGUAAAUCUUCUAAUCGUAGUUCUCUGCAAGUGUACUUAAGUUAUUGCUCCACUUGAAAUAAAUGAAAACUGGAAAUCUGAGGUGAUGAAUUAUGGGUCCCUUUUAUGUAAGAAAGAUGACAAGGAAAUCUAAUCUGCUGAGUUAUACUAAAAUAAAAUACCUUGGCCUGGGAUCAAAUAUAGGUGAAAGAAUUAACAUUUAUGUUUUUUAAUUAAGAUAAAAUGUACAAGUUUUAUGUACAUAUUUUAUGAUUUCCUGAUAUAACAAAAAGUGUUGAUAAAAGCACCCAAUACUGAUUCUAAUGACAUUUGAUUAGCAUUAAAGAGUUGCUAUUAUUA
rnacentral:lncRNA from 1 species